UCCAGGGUAGCCUAGUGGACAUGGCAUCUGCCCGGUAAGCGGAAGGACGUGGGUUCGAUUCCCGCCCCUGGAC